GACGAACGCUGGCGGCGUGCUUAACACAUGCAAGUCGAACGGAAAGGCCCUGCUUUUGUGGGAUGCUCGAGUGGCGAACGGGUGAGUAACACGUGAGUAACCUGCCCUUGACUUUGGGAUAACUUCAGGAAACUGGGGCUAAUACCGGAUAGGAGCUCCUGCUGCAUGGUGGGGGUUGGAAAGUUUCGGCGGUUGGGGAUGGACUCGCGGCUUAUCAGCUUGUUGGUGGGGUAGUGGCUUACCAAGGCUUUGACGGGUAGCCGGCCUGAGAGGGUGACCGGCCACAUUGGGACUGAGAUACGGCCCAGACUCCUACGGGAGGCAGCAGUGGGGAAUAUUGCACAAUGGGCGGAAGCCUGAUGCAGCAACGCCGCGUGCGGGAUGGCGGCCUUCGGGUUGUAAACCGCUUUCGCCUGUGACGAAGCGUGAGUGACGGUAAUGGGUAAAGAAGCACCGGCUAACUACGUG
rnacentral:rRNA from 1 species